rnacentral:rRNA from 1 species
GACGAACGCUGGCGGCGUGCCUAAUACAUGCAAGUAGAACGCACAGUUUAUACCUUGGCUUGCUCCACCAUAGACAGUGAGUUGCGAACGGGGGAGUAACGCGUAGGUAACCUGCCUGGUAGCGGGGGAUAAGUAUAGGCAACGAUAGCUAAUACCGCAUCAUAUUGACUAUUGCAUGAAAAUUGAUUGAAAGAUGAUAUUGCAUCACUACCAGAUGGACCUGCGUUGGAUUAGCUAGAAGGGGAGGUAACGGCUCACCUAGGCGACGAUAAAUAGCCGACCAGCAUAGGAGAUAUGCCACACUGGGACGGAGAGACGGACCGGACCCCUACAGGAGGCAGCAGUAGGGAAUCUUCGGCAAAGGACGAAAGUCUGACCGAGCAACGCCGCGUGAGUGAAGAAGGUUUUCGGAUCGUAAAGGUCUGUUGUAAGAGAAGAACGGGUGUGAGUGUGGAAAGUGCACACUGUGACGGUACCUUACCAGAAAGCGACGGCUAACUACGUG